rnacentral:rRNA from 1 species
AGUGAACGCUGGCGGCAGGCCUAACACAUGCAAGUCGAACGGCAGCACAGUAAGAGCUUGCUCUUACGGGUGGCGAGUGGCGGACGGGUGAGGAAUACAUCGGAUUCUACUUUUUCGUGGGGGAUAACGUAGGGAAACUUACGCUAAUACCGCAUACGACCUACGGGUGAAAGCAGGGGAUCUUCGGACCUUGCGCGAUUGAAUGAGCCGAUGUCGGAUUAGCUAGUUGGCGGGGUAAAGGCCCACCAAGGCGACGAUGCGUAGCUGGUCUGAGAGGAUGAUCAGCCACACUGGAACUGAGACACGGUCCAGACUCCUACGGGAGGCAGCAGUGGGGAAUAUUGGGCAAUGGGCGAAAGCCUGAUCCAGCAAUACCGCGUGAGUGAUGAAGGCCUUCGGGUUGUAAAGCCCUGUUGUUAGGAAAGAAAAGCAGCAGGUUAAUACCCCGCUGUUCCGACGGUACCCAAAGAAUAAGCACCGGCUAACUUCGUG